GAUCCAUAGCUGGUCUGAGAGGAUGAUCAGCCACAUUGGGACUGAGACACGGCCCAAACUCCUACGGGAGGCAGCAGUGGGGAAUAUUGGACAAUGGGCGCAAGCCUGAUCCAGCCAUGCCGCGUGAGUGAUGAAGGCCCUAGGGUUGUAAAGCUCUUUCACCGGUGAAGAUAAUGACGGUAACCGGAGAAGAAGCCCCGGCUAACUUCGUGCCAGCAGCCGCGGUAAUACGAAGGGGGCUAGCGUUGUUCGGAAUUACUGGGCGUAAAGCGCACGUAGGCGGAUAUUUAAGUCAGGGGUGAAAUCCCAGAGCUCAACUCUGGAACUGCCUUUGAUACUGGGUAUCUCGAGUAUGGAAGAGGUGAGUGGAAUUCCGAGUGUAGAGGUGAAAUUCGUAGAUAUUCGGAGGAACACCAGUGGCGAAGGCGGCUCACUGGUCCAUUACUGACGCUGAGGUGCGAAAGCGUGGGGAGCAAACAG
rnacentral:rRNA from 1 species